GGCCACUGCUAUUGGGAUCCGAUUAAGCCAUGCGAGUCGAGAGGGUUCGGCCCUCGGCAGACUGCUCAGUAACACGUGGAUAUCCUAACCUUAGGUGGAAGAUAACCUCGGGAAACUGAGAAUAAUAUUCCAUAGAUCUAGGAUGCUGGAAUGCAUCUAGAUUGAAAGUUCCGACGCCUAAGGAUGGGUCUGCGGACUAUCAGGUUGUAGUCAGGGUAAAGACCUGACUAGCCUACGACGGAUAUGGGUUGUGAGAGCAAUAGCCCAGAGACGAUAUCUGAGACACGAUAUCGGGCCCUACGGGGCGCAGCAGGCGCGAAAUCUUCACAAUGUGCGAAAGCACGAUGAGGGGAUCCCAAGUGCUGGCACGUAAGUGUCAGCUGUUUCUUAGUCUAAAAAACUGAGAGAGUAAGGGCUGGGUAAGACGGGUGCCAGCCGCCGCGGUAAUACCUGCAGCUCAAGUGGUGGCCGCUAUUAUUGGGCCUAAAACGUCCGUAGCCUGUUUAGUAAAUGCUUGGGUAAAUUGUGUAGCUUAACUAUACGAAUACCGGGUAGACUGCUAAACUUGGGACCGGGAGAGGCUAGAGGUACUCCUGGGGUAGAGGUGAAAUUCUGUAAUCCUAGGGGGACCACCAGUGGCGAAGGCGUCUAGCUAGAACGGGUCUGACGGUGAGGGACGAAGCCCUGGGGCGCAAACCGGAUUAGAUACCCGGGUAGUCCAGGGUGUAAACGCUGCUUGCUUGAUGUUAGUUGGGCUCCGAGCCCAACUAGUGUCGGAGAGAAGUUGUUAAGCAAGCUGCCUGGGAAGUACGGUCGCAAGACUGAAACUUAA
rnacentral:rRNA from 1 species